rnacentral:snoRNA from 1 species
UGCGAUGAUGAUGAUGGAAAAAAUAAUCUCGUUAAUCUGAUGAUUAUAUGAGGAAACAUUCAUACCCAUCUUAAAACCUGAGC